UUUUUAGGCUGUUCACAAAUGACUGAGUCUUGUUCCUGAAUCUGCCAGUUUCUUUGGAAAGAAAACUACAUUCUUCUGUCUCCCUCGAAGAAGGGUAUUAGCCUGUCUGCCAGUCUGAGCUAAGCUGGGACGAGAAAGUAGAAUGACGAUGGCAUGUUUCAUCACAACAGCAACAUCAAGAGAGGAACAACAUUUCCAGCUUAAAGAAUGAUUACCAUUGCUCAAGAUAUGAGAACUUGACAGUAGGAAGCUUGGCUUUUAUAAAAACAAUUGUCUCUGGAGGGCUUAGAGUUGCUCAGAAAGAGUUAGCCUGGGGAAUCGGGAAGAUGCUAUCAAUGGCCUAGACUCAAGUAAUUAUUUUCUGCAUAUGAAUGGC
rnacentral:lncRNA from 1 species